rnacentral:tRNA from 1 species
GGGGAUGUAGCUUAGAUGGUAGAGCACUCGCUUAGCAUGCGAGAGGUAUGGGGAUUGAUACCCCACUUCUCCA